UACGUAGGGUGCAAGCGUUAAUCGGAAUUACUGGGCGUAAAGCGUGCGCAGGCGGCUUUGCAAGACAGAUGUGAAAUCCCCGGGCUCAACCUGGGAACUGCAUUUGUGACUGCAAGGCUAGAGUACGGUAGAGGGGGAUGGAAUUCCACGUGUAGCAGUGAAAUGCGUAGAGAUGUGGAGGAACACCGAUGGCGAAGGCAGCCCCCUGGGUCAAGACUGACGCUCAUGCACGAAAGCGUGGGGAGCAAACAGG
rnacentral:rRNA from 1 species